UUGCUUUGGCAGCAUAUAUACUAAAAACUGGAACAAUACAGAUAUGCUCCCUGGGCAAGGAUGACAUGCAAAUUCGUGAAGCAUUCCAUGUUUUC
rnacentral:snRNA from 1 species